CCUACGGGGGGCAGCAGUGAGGAAUAUUGGUCAAUGGACGAGAGUCUGAACCAGCCAAGUAGCGUGAAGGAUGACUGCCCUAUGGGUUGUAAACUUCUUUUAUAUGGGAAUAAAAUGUUCCCCGUGUGGGAUUUUGUAUGUACCAUAUGAAUAAGGAUCGGCUAACUCCGUGCCAGCAGCCGCGGUAAUACGGAGGAUCCGAGCGUUAUCCGGAUUUAUUGGGUUUAAAGGGAGCGUAGGUGGAUUGUUAAGUCAGUUGUGAAAGUUUGCGACUCAACCGUAAAAUUGCAGUUGAAACUGGCAGUCUUGAGUACAGUAGAGGUGGGCGGAAUUCGUGGUGUAGCGGUGAAAUGCUUAGAUAUCACGAAGAACUCCGAUUGCGAAGGCAGUUCACUGGACUGCAACUGACACUGAGGCUCGAAAGUGUGGGUAUCAAACAGGAUUAGAUACCCUGGUAGUC
rnacentral:rRNA from 1 species